rnacentral:rRNA from 1 species
AGUGGCGAACGGGUGAGUAACACGUGGGCAAUCUGCCCUGCACUCUGGGAUAAGCCCGGGAAACUGGGUCUAAUACCGGAUACGACACAUGAGCGCAUGCUCGUGUGUGGAAAGUUCCGGCGGUGCAGGAUGAGCCCGCGGCCUAUCAGUUUGUUGGUGGGGUAGUGGCCUACCAAGACGACGACGGGUAGCCGGCCUGAGAGGGUGACCGGCCACACUGGGACUGAGACACGGCCCAGACUCCUACGGGAGGCAGCAGUGGGGAAUAUUGCACAAUGGGCGAAAGCCUGAUGCAGCGACGCCGCGUGAGGGAUGACGGCCUUCGGGUUGUAAACCUCUUUCAGCAGGGAAGAAGCGAAAGUGACGGUACCUGCAGAAGAAGCACCGGCUAACUACGUGCCAGCAGCCGCGGUAAUACGUAGGGUGCAAGCGUUGUCCGGAAUUAUUGGGCGUAAAGAGCUCGUAGGCGGCCUGUCGCGUCGAUUGUGAAAGCCCAGGGCUUAACCCUGGGUCUGCAGUCGAUACGGGCAGGCUAGAGUUCGGUAGGGGAGAUCGGAAUUCCUGGUGUAGCGGUGAAAUGCGCAGAUAUCAGGAGGAACACCGGUGGCGAAGGCGGAUCUCUGGGCCGAUACUGACGCUGA